rnacentral:misc_RNA from 1 species
GGCCCAGCGUGGUGGCGCACGC